CAGUCGCCACGGUAAUACGAAGGGGGCUAGCGUUGUUCGGAAUCACUGGGCGUAAAGCGCACGUAGGCGGACUUUUAAGUCAGGGGUGAAAUCCCAAGGCUCAACCUUGGAACUGCCUUUGAUACUGGAAGUCUUGAGUUCGGGAGAGGUGAGUGGAACUGCGAGUGUAGAGGUGAAAUUCGUAGAUAUUCGCAAGAACACCAGUGGCGAAGGCGGCUCACUGGCCCGAUACUGACGCUGAGGUGCGAAAGCGUGGGGAGCAAACAGGAUUAGAUACCCCAGUAGUCCCUGUCUCUUAUAC
rnacentral:rRNA from 1 species